rnacentral:SRP_RNA from 1 species
AGCCGGGUCCCGUGCAAUGUUGCCGCGUGAAGCCUGUCAGGUCCGGAAGGAAGCAGCAGUAAGCGAUGUGCGCAUGUGCCGCGGGGUUGCCUGGCUCGA